rnacentral:rRNA from 1 species
UACGGGGGGGGCAAGCGUUGUUCGGAAUUACUGGGCGUAAAGGGCGCGUAGGCGGCCUUCUAAGUCGGACGUGAAAUCCCUCGGCUUAACCGAGGAACUGCGUCCGAUACUGAAAGGCUUGAAUCCGGGAGAGGGAUGUGGAAUUCCAGGUGUAGCGGUGAAAUGCGUAGAUAUCAGGAGGAACACCGGUGGCGAAGGCGGAUCUCUGGGCCUUACCUGACGCUGAGGCGCGAAAGCUAGGGGAGCAAACGGG